rnacentral:rRNA from 2 species
AGAGUUUGAUCAUGGCUCAGGAUGAACGCCGGCGGUGUGCCUAAUACAUGCAAGUCGAGCGCACUGGCCCAACCGAUAUGACGUGCUUGCACUGAAUUGACGUUGGAUUCCCAGUGAGCGGCGGACGGGUGAGUAACACGUGGGCAACCUGCCCUGAAGCGGGGGAUAACAUCUGGAAACAGGUGCUAAUACCGCAUAACAACGAAAACCACAUGGUUUUCGUUUCAAAGAUGGUUUCGGCUAUCACUUCAGGAUGGGCCCGCGGUGCAUUAGCUAGUUGGUAAGGUAACGGCUUACCAAGGCGAUGAUGCAUAGCCGAGUUGAGAGACUGAUCGGCCACAAUGGAACUGAGACACGGUCCAUACUCCUACGGGAGGCAGCAGUAGGGAAUCUUCCACAAUGGGCGCAAGCCUGAUGGAGCAACACCGCGUGAGUGAAGAAGGGUUUCGGCUCGUAAAGCUCUGUUGUUGGAGAAGAACGUGCGUGAGAGUAACUGUUCACGCAGUGACGGUAUCCAACCAGAAAGUCACGGCUAACUACGUGCCAGCAGCCGCGGUAAUACGUAGGUGGCAAGCGUUAUCCGGAUUUAUUGGGCGUAAAGCGAGCGCAGGCGGUUGCUUAGGUCUGAUGUGAAAGCCUUCGGCUUAACCGAAGAAGUGCAUCGGAAACCGGGCGACUUGAGUGCAGAAGAGGGCAGUGGAACUCCAUGUGUAGCGGUGGAAUGCGUAGAUAUAUGGAAGAACACCAGUGGCGAAGGCGGCUGUCUGGUCUGCAACUGACGCUGAGGCUCGAAAGCAUGGGUAGCGAACAGGAUUAGAUACCCUGGUAGUCCAUGCCGUAAACGAUGAGUGCUAGGUGUUGGAGGGUUUCCGCCCUUCAGUGCCGGAGCUAACGCAUUAAGCACUCCGCCUGGGGAGUACGACCGCAAGGUUGAAACUCAAAGGAAUUGACGGGGGCCCGCACAAG